AGUUCUGACGUGAGUUUCGGCGGGAAAAUGAAGGCUCGAUUUACGGCACCAAGGAACAAAACUGAAAGAGGACAGAGGAGAGGCUUCAGUUUCCAUCGGUAGCUGCCGCUGGGAAGAGAGACAUCACGGUCAGACGGGGACAAAAAUCCAGCCCUGGACUUUUCCUCUGAGACAGAAUCAUGGUUUUUUAACGGUCCAACGGCCCACCGGGACUUGUCUCUAUGGCCAGUCCCGAUGAUGGCGACAGCUCUGGGACUUGAGGAACCCAGCGGUCAGUCUGUAUUAUUUCUACUAACUCAUUGCAGUGCACUGAGCUCUCAGGGCCACCGUGGAUUAACUCUUUCUGCACUAUCUGCUCAACAGCAGACAGACGAGAGAACGACAGGAAAUACUGGACUUCAGCUACUCUCCAGGGUUUGAAACGGCCUUAGCAGAAACAUCUGAAGUCAUGACACUAACAUAUCAUCAUGUUGUCAUCCACCUGAUGUUCUCUGGAGUCCUGAGACUCUCUGAACUCGUGCAGCCUCAGAGCGACGCCAGAUCCUGCCAUCACUGACCGAUCGAGUCCAAGUCACACCAAGACCAGGUCCACAGAGGGUCCAGACUGAAUCCACAGCAGCUCACGUCUCAGGGGGAUCCAGGACGCAGAAACCCAACACUGGACACUGUGACAACAGAGCAAACUGACACUGGUAACCAUGAUCUCUCUCUGUCAGUUCACUUCAAAUGGCUUCAUUUACACAUUCAGACACAGUGCUGCAUAAAUACUGAUAUUAACAUUCACACAGUGGGAGAAGGAUUCAGAUCUUUUACUUGAGUCAAAGUACUGACACAGCAGUGUAACUGUAAUCCAUUACAUGUAAAAGUAAAAAAAAUGUUGGACUUUUUUUCUCUAAUGUUUGAUUUUUGCUGAGACACUGGAUCAUUUCAACAUUUGUUGAAACUGAGGAGAGUGGGCUAAAAAGGUUUCAUCUUAAAAUGUGUUGUACUUUAACUCCUUCUAUUAUAAAUAAAGUGAAACUGAGCGUGUCCUUCUGAAAUGUGGAGGAGCUGAAGUAUAA